UACGGGGGGGGCAAGCGCUGUUCGGAAUUACUGGGCGUAAAGGGCGCGUAGGCGGCCUGCUAAGUCGGAUGUGAAAUCCCUCGGCUCAACCGAGGAACUGCAUCCGAUACUGGCGGGCUUGAAUCCGGGAGAGGGAUGUGGAAUUCCAGGUGUAGCGGUGAAAUGCGUAGAUAUCCGGAGGAACACCGGUGGCGAAGGCGGCAUCCUGGACCGGUAUUGACGCUGAGGCGCGGAAAGCUAGGGGAGCAAACGGGG
rnacentral:rRNA from 1 species